rnacentral:rRNA from 1 species
UACGGAGGGGGCUAGCGUUGCUCGGAAUGACUGGGCGUAAAGGGCGCGUAGGCGGUUCGUACAGUCAGACGUGAAAUUCCUGGGCUCAACCUGGGGGCUGCGUUUGAUACGUGCGGACUUGAGUGCGGAAGAGGGUCGUGGAAUUCCCAGUGUAGAGGUGAAAUUCGUAGAUAUUGGGAAGAACACCGGUGGCGAAGGCGGCGACCUGGUCCGAUACUGACGCUGAGGCGCGAAAGCGUGGGGAGCAAACAGG